ensembl:lncRNA
AGGAUGAGCUGUAUGGAGGUUGGGCUGUAUGGAGGAUGGGCUGUAUGGAGGUUGGGCUGUAUGGAGGAUGGGCUGUAUGGAGGAUGGGCUGUAUGGAGGUUGGGCUGUAUGGAGGAUGGGCUGUAUGGAGGAUGGGCUGUAUGGAGGUUGGACUGUAUGGAGGACGAGCUGUAUGGAGGAUGGGCUGUAUGGAGGACGAGCUGUAUGGAGGUUGGGCUGUAUGGAGGUUGGGCUGUAUAGAGGAUGGGCUGUAUGGAGGUUGGGCUAUAUGGAGGAUGGGCUGUAUGGAGGAUGGGCUGUAUGGAGGUUGGGCUGUAUGGAGGAUGGGCUGUA